rnacentral:rRNA from 1 species
GACGAACGCUGGCGGCGUGCUUAACACAUGCAAGUCGAACGGAAAGGCCCUGCUUUUGUGGGGUGCUCGAGUGGCGAACGGGUGAGUAACACGUGAGUAACCUGCCCUUGACUUUGGGAUAACUUCAGGAAACUGGGGCUAAUACCGGAUAGGAGCUCCUGCUGCAUGGUGGGGGUUGGAAAGUUUCGGCGGUUGGGGAUGGACUCGCGGCUUAUCAGCUUGUUGGUGGGGUAGUGGCUUACCAAGGCUUUGACGGGUAGCCGGCCUGAGAGGGUGACCGGCCACAUUGGGACUGAGAUACGGCCCAGACUCCUACGUGAGGCAGCAGUGGGGAAUAUUGCACAAUGGGCGGAAGCCUGAUGCAGCAACGCCGCGUGCGGGAUGACGGCCUUCGGGUUGUAAACCGCUUUCGCCUGUGACGAAGCGUGAGUGACGGUAACGGGUAAAGAAGCACCGGCUAACUACGUG